ACAACGGGUAGCUGGUCUGAGAAGAUGGUCAGCCACACUGGAACUGAGACACGGUCCAGACACCUACGGGUGGCAGCAGUCGAGAAUCAUUCGCAAUGGGGGAAACCCUGACGAUGCGACGCCGCGUGGAGGAUGAAGGCCUUAGGGUUGUAAACUCCUGUCAAGAGGGAAUAAGCAAGUGAAGGUACCUCUAGAGGAAGGGGCGGCUAAUUCCGUGCCAGCAGCCGCGGUAACACGGAAGCCCCGAGCGUUGUUCGGAUUCAUUGGGCGUAAAGGGUGCGUAGGCGGCGCGGAAAGUCCGGCGUGAAAGGCAGGGGCUCAACCUCUGGACUGCGUUGGAUACUUCCGUGCUUGAGGACUGGAGGGGAGACUGGAAUUCACGGUGUAGCAGUGAAAUGCGUAGAUAUCGUGAGGAAGACCGGUGGCGAAGGCGAGUCUCUGGACAGAUCCUGACGCUGAGGCACGAAGGCUGGGGGAGCGAACAGGAUUAGAUACCCUGGUAGUCCCAGCAGUAAACGAUGUGAGCUUGAUGUGGGGGGAUUCGACCCCUUCCGUGUCGAAGCUAACGCGAUAAGCUCACCGCCUGAGGAGUACGGCCGCAAGGCUAAAACUCAAAGAAAUUGACGGGGACCCGCACAAGCGGUGGAGUAUGUGGCUUAAUUCGAUGCAACGCGAAGAACCUUACCUGGCCUUGACAUGCAUUGUGUCGUCGGUGAAAGCCGGCUAGUCCUGGAAACAGGACGCUUUGCACAGGUGCUGCAUGGCUGUCGUCAGCUCGUGUCGUGAGAUGUUGGGUUAAGUCCCGCAACGAGCGCAACCCUUGUGGUCAGUUACUAACCGGCUUAGCCGGAGGACUCUGGCCAGACUGCCCUGUCAAACGGGGAGGAAGGUGGGGACGACGUCAAGUCAGUAUGGCCCUUAUGGCCAGGGCUGCACACGUACUACAAUGCCCGGUACAAUGUGAACCGAAACCGCGAGGUGGAGGAAAUCGCUCUUGAAAACCGGGCCCAGUUCGGAUUGGAGUCUGCAACUCGACUCCAUGAAGUCGGAAUCGCUAGUAAUGGCGUAUCAGCAACGACGCCGUGAUACGUUCCCGGGUCUUGUACACACCGCCCGUCACAUCAUGGAAGUCUCCUGUACCCGAAGCACGUGCGCCAACCUUUUAGGAGGCAGCGUUCGAAG
rnacentral:rRNA from 1 species